UUUCAUGUCUCCCCUAGGGCUGCCAAAAAAAACAAAGAUUCUUCCCUCAAGGUUUACAUUUUAAUUUCAUGAAAUUUAUUCCUAGCUAAACAUGCCUUUCAUGUUUAAUGAAGAAGGAAAGAUGGAUUAGGGCACUAACCUCACUUGAGCUUCCCAAACCUCAACUUUCUUACUUCUUAUGGGUAUAUAUAGCUUCCUUAUGGAGUGGGGAGUAUUUUUUUGUGAAGGGUGCUAAAGGUUUUGAUGGGUAGAUGAAGGAAUAUUCAAGCUUGAAGCUUGAAAAAAAAUGGCGGAGAGAAGACCAAAGUGGGCGGCACGAAGGAGAAAGAAGAGGAAGAAGAAGAAUCAAAGACAAGUUUGGAAGAGAUUUGGAGGUCAAAACGUGAAGAAUACAGUGCCAAAAAUAUUACACGGACACGGGCCGUGUAACUUGCCCCGUGUAAUUUUCUGGACCCCGUACAACCUUAUGGACAAAGAAAACUUGAAAAACAAGAGUGGUAGAAAGUUACACGAGGCAGGGGCGUGUAACAUUACACGGGCCAUGUAAAGUACCCUAUCAACAAUUUUGAUGCGACUUUUUUUCUUUCCAACCUGACCCGGAUGGACUUGUAAUGCUUCUAGGACUCUGAAAUUAGGGUUUCUACACCAGAUGUAAAUAUAACAAGUCAAGAAUUGAGGAAGGAGGAGAGAAUUUACAUUCAAGGAGAGCCGAUUUACAUUCAAAGAUGGACAUCAACGUCAAGGGAGGCAAGGGAGAAAUAAGAACUGCAAGAUUGCUAGAAGAUAUUUUCAGCUGAAGUUCCAAAGUUCCAAGGCUGCAACUCUCUUUUUGGAUUCUUUCACUCUAUUUUCUUCUCAUGUCUUCUCUUUAUCCUUUUAUAAACUUAAUUGUAAAACUCACAAUGGGUGAGUAGGUUCUUUAUUCUAGGGUUAGGGUGUAGCACUCUCAAUUUCAUUAUGGAUCUGAUUUGAUUUUAUUUAAUACAUUAGGUAUUUUAUUCUUUGAUUCAA